ensembl:lncRNA LINC01203 long intergenic non-protein coding RNA 1203
CAAAGUGCUGGAAUUACAGGCGUGCACCACCACGCCCGGCCAGAUCUUCAUAUAUCUAAGAUCCUGUCAAGAAGACAUGGUAAACCUCAUCAUGAUCAAGAAUGAGACUUUGCUUGCAUCCAGGCUUCCCAAAAGUUGUUUGAUAGUAUACAGGCAUGAGAUGGUGUGACUCUAACUCAUUAGAUGCCUUCGUCUUUUCAGUCAUCAUGUGAUGGAAAGAAAGCUAUCAACUUCAUUCCUGAGACUUCCUGCAACACAGAUCCAUCUAAACUUUUACUUCAUUGGAGGGUCCUUCCUGACCCAUGCAACUCAACAAAAAACUCUCACAGUUUUUAUAUGCUUUGUUGGGGAUUAACCCAUCUUGCAUUGCAUUGCUAGCUUAGUAUGUCUAGCAUGGGCAUGCCUGCUGAAGUUUGGAACUUCCCAUCAAGGAAACAGGAAAAUGCCAUUGGCAAUGAGCUGAAGACUGAUUUACUCUACCAGUUUGGAACAUCUGUUAUUGCUGCUACUACGGUUUCUAUCACUGUUUGAUGCUGGGACUCUUAAGCUCCAACCACGUUUUCACCGAGCUGAGUCGCCUUCUUAUCACCCCUUUCUGGAGCAGCAGGACAUCUGGGGAUGAGAAGAUGGAGAGAUCAUCCUUAUAUAAUGUUGCAGUCUGGAAGCAUCACUCUCAAAAAGCCAUUGUAGAGAAUCCAAGCCGAGUUUAAGAGUGCUGUGGAAAUACACUGCUGCUACUGCUGUUUCUAUUACUGUUUGAUGCUGGGACUCUUAUGCUCCAACCACGUUUUCACCCAGCUGAGUCGCCUUCGUAUCACGCCUUUCCAAGUCUCGCUCUGUUGUCCAGGCUGGAGUGCAGUGGCAUGAUCUUGGCUCACUGAAACCUCUGCCUCCCAGGUUCAGGCGAUUCUCCUGCUUCAGCCUCACGAGUAGCUGGGACUGCAGGCCCACCAAGCCUGGCUAGUUUUUGUAUUAUUAGUAGAGACGGGGUUUCACCAUGUUGGCCAGGCUAGGCUCGAACUCCUGGCCUCAAGUGCUGGGAUUACAGGUGUGAGCCACCACACCCAGUCCUACAGUUUGAUCAUUUUUAAGGUGCAAAUUCUAUUCAACUUCCCAUAUACAUGGGGUUUCACACUGGGACGGUGAGGCAGGGGAUCAGAGGUGGGGUUAAGUAUUGAAAUCAGCAUAUAAGGCAAGAAUAGUUGAUAAUCAACACUACUCUCUAAAACUCCUUAAAUCAGUGGUGCUACAGAGAUAGUACACUGCUAGAGGCAAUUUAGAAUAUUUUGUUGUGUGUUUUUGGUUAGCAUAGCCAAGGGAGGGGGUACCUUAGAUAUUCAUGAGCCACAGCUGGGGAUUUUAAGCAACCGUCAUUGGUCAUAAAGUCCAGAGAAAAGAAGGAUCCUCUCCGGUCCUUCAGCACUUCUGAAUGCCCUGCUAGACCUGCAUUGUGUGUGAAAACCUGCUCAAGAUUAUCUGAGGAUAGAUGCUCACAGCAUUUUACAAAUAAACACAAAAGUAUUUUUAGCAAUCUUAAUAAA